UUAUCAGUGAAUUUUUUUCUGGUUAUCAUGGUUUCUUUUGUUGUUAUUGUGCAAUGUACCUAUUGGUGAUGUUAACAAUUCUGACUCUGUUGUGCAAUUGAUCCUCAUUUUUUUUGUACCAUAUCUGAUUUUGUGUGUGUAUUGUCAUGAGACAGUUAGACCACAAUGAAUGUUGGUCUCUGAUUGAUACUAGCUGAUGUCAAAGGUUUUUAUUUGUAGCAUCCAUUUGAAAAGAGAGAGAGAGAGAGAUUGUUUCACAUUUUAUAAGAAAAUAACUUCAUGCUAAAUUUUCUUGUUUCCUUGUUCUUGGCUUGUUGCACUUUGAUUUUAUUUGAAUAGAAUUUUACUUCCAAAAGGAAUUAAAUGACUUCUACUCUUGAUGGUUCUUAUGAUACUUGGGUACAAAGAGUUGUUCAAUAUACUUCUUCCUCAAUUUCUUUGAUUUUCCUUGUCAUUUUACUUAAUCAAUAUAUAUCCUACUAGUUAGUGAGAAUGCAUUAACAAUGAUUGCCACAACAAGAUUACCUAUUAUCAGAUUCUCUUAUUCGAUAUUAGAAGUAGCUCACAGAACUAAAACUCAUUUUGUACAAAUUAAAGUCAUUUGGUUUUUGAAUAUGUGAAAUGUUUUGCUAAUGUUACAUGCAAUUUGUUUUCCACAUGUGCUUCCACAUUAUUUUCUUUGGUUUGUUUUAAACUUUUUGCUUUGUAAAUUUUUCCCCUUGUGUUCAUGGUCUCAUAUAUCAUUGUCAUACUUUAUGAAUUUUCUGGCCUGCUUAUCAUGGUCUCUUCUUAUUGGGUCUUUUCUUCUUGUUAUCAUGCAUUUGAUGUAUAUAUGUGUGUGUUUGUAUAUAUAUGUACUACUAUAGAUGGGAUUUAUUUUCUCUCCUUAAAAUUUUGUUUCUAUUGUGUUAUGGUGGUUUUUGUUGUUGACAUUUUUUAUAUGUUGUGCAAUGGGUCCUCAUUUUUUAUGCUAACCUGCAGUGUUUCCACAUUAGAUUCUUUGGUUUGUUUUGAAAUGUUUACUCUCUUAUUUUCUUUUUUGUCAUGUUUUUCUAGCCUUUUGCUGUUGUCAUGGUUUCUUCUAAUGGACAUAUACAUAUACUUUUUCGUAUUAUUUUCCCUCAUUGAAUUGUUACCCUCUUGUAUUAUCAAGGCUUUAUAUUGUUAACAUGAAUGCUUUGUUGUGCAAUGGUGCCUCAGUUUUUAUGCUGACCUAUUCGACAGCAUACUUCCAUAUUAAUUUUGUUAAGAUUGGAUUGAAAUUUUUUGUGGUGUUGCCUGACUAUAAGACGUUAUGUGUCACCCCUUCAUAAUAUUAUUUUGUGGUAUGUUUUGUCUUAUAUUUUUGUUUUUCUACUAGACUACAUCUAUUUGUUUAUGUCAUUGGCUUCUUCACUUUUCAUCUACCAUGUACAUAUAUCAGGCUUAUUGUGGAUAGUGCUAUGAUUUAUUAAUAAGCUACAAAUAUGUAUUGCUUAACUUGUACUACUAAAUUGUAUUGCUAAGUGCUAUGAUCUAUUAAUCCUAUUGUUCUUAUAGUUUCUUUAUUUUUGGAAUUUUUCUCAAGAUAAUGGAUAACAUAGUCUACCUUAUGUCUGAUCAGUUUCACAUUUCACAUUAGGUUUGCUUAUGUUGCAUCUCCUUUAACAUGCUUCUUACUUCCUGCAUGUAUUAGAUGGCAUGUUUUCAAUAAAUUAUGAAUGGCAAACACUACAAUAGGGCCACAUACAUAGCAAUUUGAUAGCAAGUUUAAUUAAAACAAUAUUUCAUUACCAAAUCAUGUAGAUGGAUAAUUAGGCUUUAAAUGAGCGAGUGAGACUUUUGGCAGCAACAUUCACUACAAUUGUUGUAAUUAUUGUCUUUUUAAUUAAAGAGAUGCACCUAACUCGGGAUGCAAGACAUAGGGAACCUUCAAUAUUCCAAGACAUAAUUAGGAAGAAACACAUGGAAUGUAUUUUAAAGAGUGGCCGAGACUAUAGUGUCAAUUACCUUAGGAUGGACCUAUGCCUUUCAUGCAUUUGCCAUCUAUUAUGCAUAACAAGCACCUGUUCGUAGGCAGCAUACACAUAUUAUAGAGGAACAAUUGGAAAUAUUCCUGCACAUAGUUGGUCACAACACCAAGAAUUGGAUCAUGCCAGUUAAGUUUCUUCGCUCUGGGAAAACAAUUAGUUGGUAUGUUAACAAUGUUGCCUGAGCUAUAUGUGCCAUAGGUGAUAACUUCAUUCACCCCCUCUCCCCUCGUGGGCACGAGCAGCUCCUGCCAUCCUGAAAUUGAGUCUAGCACAACUUGGUACACAUAUUUUAAAGUAAGGAUUCAAUCGACCAAAAAAAAAAAGAUUCUAAUAAAACUCUCAAAGCACUAAUGCAAAUUCAUUCAUUUAUGCUUGUCGUAUAGGAUUACAUAGGUAUAUUGGAUAGGACGCAGAUUGAUGUGUCGUCCCUCCACAAGAAUUACCUUACUUUCGUGGUCGAAAGGGCCUAACCCAAAAUAUUCUCACAAUGGUGAAUCCUAAUUUGAAAUUCACAUAUGUUGCCGGGUUGAGUAAAAUAGGUAAAUGACUUUACAGGCUUGCGUGAUGCAAUAUCACAACGAGAGCCUGAUGGUUUGAUGUUAAUAGAAGGUAAGAAAAUUAUAUUUUAGAUCAUAUAACCUUAAAAGUAGUCCUAUUUGAUGAUUGUCUUUCCUUAUAGGGAAACAUUAUUUGGUAGACGCUGGUUACACUACAAUGAAUGGCCUUGUAGCACAAUAUCGAGGUGUUAGAUACUACUUAAAAGAACAUAGUGGAAGACCACCAACAAAUCCCAAGGAACUCUUUAACCUUAGGCAUUCAAUGUUGUGCUCAUGAGUCAAGAGAGCAUUUUCCACUCUUAAAAAUAGAUUCAAAAUUCUCACCUUACACCCUUUCUUUUCAUUUAAGGCACAAGUAAGAUUAGUUCUUGAGUUGCAUCAUUCAUAACUACAUAGCUAGUGUUGAUCAGAACAACAAGAUUUUGAAUGAAGUUCACAGGAAGAAGAAUAUAGACAAAUGGUGGAGCUAGAAUAAAGUAGCGAUUCACAUGUGGAUUCGCUAUAGAGGUUUUGUGUAACCCUUGCAGCAUGUAUUUUUAUUUUUAUUUUUAACUUGCUAUGCAUUAUAAAUCCAUGCUCUCUACACUAUAACAUGUUUUUUUUCUUAUUUACCAUUGUAUGUCUUUUUAGUACUUAUGCUAAAUUUGAUUUACACAAAUGGCUUCAUUUAUUUUUCAUUAGAAAACCAAGCAAAAUGGAGCAAGUAGCUAGGGAAAUGUCUCAAUUGUUAAAAGUCUUUUAAGCACUCAACAUUUGUGUUAGUUGUUGUCACAUGAACACAAGAUUCAAGAUUGGUUUCAGCUGUGAAAAUGUAGAGAAUCACUACAAAACAUUCAAGGCACAUUAUGUUGAAAUUAAAAGGCAAGAGAGCUCGGCGGGUUCGGCUGGGAUGGCACGACCAAAACAAUCAUUCUUGACCCAAUUGUAGCACUCACAUUCAUUGAGGAGUGUGAAAGUCAAGCUAGAAGGUUCAUGGUGAGGAUGAUGGCUCUCAAACAACUUUGGAAUGAACAAUUUCUCACUCUAAUGGAAUGAAUCACCUCUUUCCAUGUUGUUGCGUUCUUGGUCAUCCUGGACUGGAUGCUGAUUUUCUUAUCAUCUUUUCAUUUUUCCUUAUGUAUUUAAUGCAUUUCUGCACUUCUGGACUACAUGUAUUUCUACAUUUCACACUUAAUGCAUCUUUAUUUUCCUA